CCCUUAGAUGUUCUGGGCCGCACGCGCGCUACACUGACCAGUGCAACAAGCAUCCGUCCUUGGCCGACAGGCCCGGGCAAUCUUUGAACGCUGGUCGUGAUGGGGAUAGACUUUUGCAAUUUUUGGUCUUCAACGAGGAAUUCCUAGUAAACGCAAGUCAUCAACUUGCAUUGAUUACGUCCCUGCCCUUUGUACACACCGCCCGUCGCACCUACCGAUUGAAUGGUCCGGUGAAAUCUCGGGACGGCGGCUUGGUCGCUUGCGUCCGACUGCUGAAACUUGAUUAAACCAUAUCAUUUAGAGGAAGGUGAAGUCGUAACA
rnacentral:rRNA from 1 species